rnacentral:snRNA from 1 species
GUGAUAACUUUGGCAGCACAUAUGCUAAAACUGGAACAACACUGAGAAGAUUAGCAGCCUGUGCAAAAUUUGCACAAGAGUAUUCUUACAGUACCACCAUACACAU